UAAUACGGAGGGUGCAAGCAUUAAUCGGAUUUACUGGGCGUAAAGGGCGCGUAGGCGGAUAUAUAAGUCAGAUGUGAAAUUUCGGUGCUCAACACCGAAGCUGCAUUUGAAACUAUAAGUCUUGAGGGUAGGCGGAGAAAAUGGAAUUCCAAGUGUAGCGGUGAAAUGCGUAGAUAUUUGGAAGAACACCGGUGGCGAAAGCGAUUUUCUAGCUUAUACCUGACGCUGAGGCGCGAGAGCAAGGGUAGCAAACAGG
rnacentral:rRNA from 1 species